GUCCUGAUAGCUUAAAUUAAAGCACCGACCUUGUAAGCCGGAGAUUGCAGCUUAAUUCCUGCUCAAGACU
rnacentral:tRNA from 2 species